rnacentral:rRNA from 1 species
GACGAACGCUGGCGGCGUGCUUAACACAUGCAAGUCGAACGGAAAGGCCCUGCUUUUGUGGGGUGCUCGAGUGGCGAACGGGUGAGUAACACGUGAGUAACCUGCCCUUGACUUUGGGAUAACUUCAGGAAACUGGGGCUAAUACCGGAUAGGAGCUCCUGCUGCAUGGUGGGGGUUGGAAAGUUUCGGCGGUUGGGGAUGGACUCGCGGCUUAUCAGCUUGUUGGUGGGGUAGUGGCUUACCAAGGCUUUGACGGGUAGCCGGCCUGAGAGGGUGACCGGCCGCAUUGGGACUGAGAUACGGCCCAGACUCCUACGGGAGGCAGCAGUGGGGAAUAUUGCACAAUGGGCGGAAGCCUGAUGCAGCAACGCCGCGUGCGGGAUGACGGCCUUCGGGUUGUAAACCGCUUUCGCCUGUAACGAAGCGUGAGUGACGGUAAUGGGUAAAGAAGCACCGGCUAACUACGUG